GUAGUCAUAUGCUUGUCUCAAAGAUUAAGCCAUGCAUGUCUAAGUAUAAACAAUUUUAUACUGUGAAACUGCGAAUGGCUCAUUAUAUCAGUUAUAUUCUAUUCGAUAAUAAUUUACUACUUGGAUAACCGUAGUAAUUCUAGAGCUAAUACAUGCGCAAAUACCCAACUAUGCUUUGGUGUGGAAGGGUAGCAUUUAUUAGAUUGAAACCAAUGCAGCUGGCUUUCGGGUCGGUUGGUAUUUUGGCGAGUCAUAAUACUAUUGCUGAGAUCUCUUUUUGAGAUCCAAAUCGAGUGAGUUUCUGCCCUAUCAGCUUUGGAUGGUAGGGUAUUGGCCUACCAUGGCGGCAACGGGUAACGGGGAAUG
rnacentral:rRNA from 1 species